UGGCACCUAGGGACGCAGCAGUGAGGAAUAUUGGGCAAUGGGCGGAAGCCUGAACCAGCCAAGUCGCGUGAGGGAAUAAGGCCCUACGGGUCGUAAACCUCUUUUGCCGGGGAGCAAGGGCGGGGACGUGUCCCGGCCCGGAGAGUACCCGGAGAAAAAGCAUCGGCUAACUCCGUGCCAGCAGCCGCGGUAAUACGGAGGAUGCGAGCGUUAUCCGGAUUUAUUGGGUUUAAAGGGUGCGUAGGCGGGCUUUUAAGUCAGCGGUAAAAAUUCGGGGCUCAACCCCG
rnacentral:rRNA from 1 species